rnacentral:lncRNA from 1 species
GUUUUCCCGCCAUUUUUUUACCGCGAUAGAAUUUGACCAAGACUUGAAUAGGUCUCGUGAAAUCAAAAAAGUUCUAGGUGCUAUAGUUUUGCCAGGCCGUAGGGUGACCCCUGAUGCGGAGCAGUUUUCCAAGAUGAUGUUCCAAUCACACCCCAAUACAUCAUUUUUACCUCUGAGACAUUUUCUGGAAAAACAAAAAUUUGUAUGGCGGCCAUCUUGAUUUUCGGCCAUUUUGUUUUUUUUUUUUUCACUGGCGAUAAAAUUUGACCAAGACUUUAAUAGGCUUCGUGAAAACAAAAAAGUUCCAGGUGCGAUAGUUUCGCCAGGCUGUAGGGUGUCUCCCUGAUGCGGAGCAGCUUUCGAAGAUCGAAAAGUAUUUCCAUACUCAACAUGAUGUUUCGAUCACAUUCCUCAUACAUCAUUUUUACCCCCGAGGCAUUUUCGGGAAAAACGAAAAUUUUGUAUGGCGGCCAUCUUGUUUUUCCGCCAUUUUGUUUUUUUUUCAGCGGGGAUUGGAUUUGACCAAGAUUUAAAUAU